GUUGAAGUACCGGUUCCCGUACGAUCAGUGAAAUUAAGCAACGUUGAGCCUGGUCAGUACCUAGAUGGGUGACCGCUUGGGAACACCAGGUGCUGUAA